GCCGUUUCAUCUUCGAGCAAUGGUGUUGAGGGAACGUGAGUUCAAGAGCAUCUUUCACUUUUGUUGGUCAUCUCCAGCGGUUGAUCGGCCGGCAGCACUGAGGAUCAACUUCAAAAUAACACAAAGGAGGUUGCGUAAGUUCCAUAACUUACAAGCUUGGGAAGAAGAGCUUCUCUUCCUUUCCCGCUCGCAGCAGGAUUCUGAGAUCACCACGCAUGACUGUCAUCUCUAAUUUCUGAAUGGCGUACGCGUGAUGAGUUCCGCCGGCGCGCGUGUUCCCGAAUCACAUGGUUAAAGCUUCAGGAUCGGAACAAUCGCUUCUUCCAUUGCAUGGCCUCCAUGAGUUUUCGCAAGUCUAAGAGGGGCAGACUUCUGCGGAAAUGUUGGCUGUUUUCAACUUGGAGAGGCAUUUGGUUGCUAAGUUAUGAUGUUAUUUUCCGUGAAAGAAAGCACCAUGAGACGAUCCAUGAAAGGGCAACCUCAUCCCCAUGAAGUGCAUGGUUGCAUUAGGAGGCGGCGGCUCAACAUAAUGAAGCAAUAUUCCAACUUCCUGAAGACAUAAGAGAUGAGCUAUCUCUAAAUGAUGUCUUGUCAUGGGUGAUGGGACCAGACAAAUUUGGACGAGUGCAUACUUAUAGAAUGAGGGUAAAACCAUCACAAGUUUUUGAUGCAGUUUCUAGUCAAUGUGAACUAAUGACACAAAGUGUGAAAUUGAGAGGGGUAUGGUGAUCUAUGCAAUAAGGUGCAUAAUGUAGAAAGCAAUCAUACUCACCAGAUGUGCAAAUUAGAAGCUAGACAAGUUGAAAAGAUACAUGACUUUGAAGCCAUACAUGCAAAACAAAUACAUGAGAUACAAGUAUAAGUCCAAAUGUUGAUGGCAAUGUUCGAACAAUUAAUUGGUAAAUAUUCAAUGAAAUAUGAUCAUCUUUUUAAUUUCUAUGAAAAGUAGAUAAGUAUAUGAUUUGUUAGGGAUAACACUUCUCAUGUUCAUUUUAUAGGUCCGAAGAUGGCUUAAAUAUCACGUGCAUAUUGGCAAUGAUUUUUUUUUUUUUGUGAAAACAAAUUGUUUGGUGUUAAAUAAUUUGAGCUUUACCACAUAAUUAUAAUUUGUAAAUAUAUUUGUGGAAAUACAUAUCUUUUGAUAUGUGAAAGACUAGUUUUCAUGUUACUGAAAGGUAGAUUAGAAAUCUAACUUUUCCCCUCUCCCAAUGAUUUACAACAUGCACUCUUAUUCUAGUUUCAGCACCUUUCUUCUCUAUCUCUCUGAAAAUUUUGCUGAUAUGCUGGUACUUAGGUAAGGCAUAGGAUCCAAUCUAAGCCAUGCCAACCGGGCAAGGAGGUGCAAGUAGCACUGGUAUUGCCUUCUUUAUCGUACCAGAGAUGGUGUUCUGCUGAUAUGUAGCCCUUUUGGUUGAGAAUCUGCCUUUGAGUCCAGAAUUCUCAAGGGGACUGCCUUUGCAGCACUAACUUGCAUCUUUGUUGUGGGUAAUUGACUUUUUGCUGUUCUCCCUAAGUUUAUUUCUCUUUCUUUCAUAUAUGAUUGUACCUAUGAUUGAUUAUGUUAAUACUUAUUGCUUAUUUCAUUUGAACCAAGUCUAAGUUUACCUUCUUGGUUA